GACUAUACUUCAGAGUUUGAUCCUGGCUCAGAUUGAACGCUGGCGGCAGGCCUAACACAUGCAAGUCGAACGGUAACAGGAAGCAGCUUGCUGCUUCGCUGACGAGUGGCGGACGGGUGAGUAAUGUCUGGGAAACUGCCUGAUGGAGGGGGAUAACUACUGGAAACGGUAGCUAAUACCGCAUAACGUCGCAAGACCAAAGAGGGGGACCUUCGGGCCUCUUGCCAUCGGAUGUGCCCAGAUGGGAUUAGCUUGUUGGUGGGGUAACGGCUCACCAAGGCGACGAUCCCUAGCUGGUCUGAGAGGAUGACCAGCCACACUGGAACUGAGACACGGUCCAG
rnacentral:rRNA from 1 species